rnacentral:piRNA from 1 species
UCACUCUGUAUACCUGCUUACAUGGCCUC